rnacentral:lncRNA from 13 species
AUUGUUCGGAAUGAAUCGGCUAAUAGUGGCGGAACAUCGCGGAGUGCGGCGGAUAGGUUUCAUGUCGACGGUCGUCGCGACGCGUUUUAUCGCUCUGCAUCUAAGUUUUUGCGUAUAACGUACAGUGAAGUGCAUCCGAAUUUUUAUGUACAACAUACAUUGCAAUGAAAUGAGAAUGUUACGAUGGAAUAUCGACCUAUGUGUCCGUAUCACUACGUCGCGCGGUUGUGUCUCUCUCGCUACGUUGAGAUGUGAUAAUAAAGUUUGUAUUAAUCGUAAUUAAUUUUUCGUCGCGAGUGUUGUGUUGGUUGUGCAUUUUGAUGGGAACUGAGAGGAGGUGGAGGCCCGGGGGGCAUCGAGCAACGGCGGAGCAACCGAGUGAUUCACGCGACUGGUAACGACUCCGCUGCUGCGCAUCGUGUGUCGGU